rnacentral:rRNA from 1 species
UACGAAGGGGGGCUAGCGUUGCUCGGAAUCACUGGGCGUAAAGCGCACGUAGGCGGCUUUUCAAGUCAGGGGUGAAAUCCUGGAGCUCAACUCCAGAACUGCCUUUGAUACUGAAGAGCUCGAGUCCGGGAGAGGUGAGUGGAACUGCGAGUGUAGAGGUGAAAUUCGUAGAUAUUCGCAAGAACACCAGUGGCGAAGGCGGCUCACUGGCCCGAUACUGACGCUGAGGCACGAAAGCGUGGGGAGCGAACAGG